rnacentral:tRNA from 1 species
GAGGGCUCGUAGCGAAACGGCAUCGCGCCUGCAUGGCAUGCAGGAGACUGCGGGUUCGAACGCAGGGGGCGCUUG